CAUGGCAAGACUGAGAAAGCUCAUCUAUCUUUAUCUUUCUCAUUGCCAUAGCUUCAAAAGUAUGUCUCCAAACUUUGGUCUACUGAACAACCUUUACAUAUUAACAACAUUUGUUGUGGAUACUGGAGAUGGCCUUGGAAUAGAGCAACCCAAAGACUUGCAACACCUUAGUAAUAGGUUGGAACUGUUGAAUUUGAGCAAGAUAAAGAGUGGGGAGAAUGCAAAAGAAGCCAAUCUCAAUUAGAAGCAAAACCUAAGUGAGUUGUUGUUCUCUUGGG
rnacentral:rRNA from 1 species